ensembl:lncRNA
AACGUCUGUACAGCUCCACACAAGUUUUGCUUUGGACUAAGGCAGCACGUUAUCUUCAUUUUCGUGGACUUGUUUCUUAUUUUAACGUCUGCUACAGGUCGUCUUCAGUUACUACGGGACAGCAUCUUCUGCCAGCAUCUACCAGAGGUCAGUCCAGUGGUUGCUUGCAAGAAGUCAUUGAGAUGAUUUUGACGAGAAGGGAGAGCUUCUGUUCCACUGCGUUGAGAUGACAAGCCUUUCAGAUGUUCAGAUGGAGAAAGUGCCACCAACGCCCUUCAUCAUUGUUUGCGGUAAGCCGAAAGAGCAAAAUUCAACUUUUUUUUUUUUUUUCCUGUUGUAACUGCCACGUUCUUGUACUCUUGGCUUGUUUAGUUUCAUGUUCUGUUGCUUCCACACUAAUACACUGGAUAACACAACCAUAUAAGUUCAGCUAGUAACAUAACUAAUCCUAUGAUCCAUGUAACAAGUAUCUCUGUAUUUGUAUAUAUGACUGACAUUAAAGCUCUUGUUAUUAAAGUUUUUAAUUUGUUGUUGUUGUUUUAAUUCUCAGGUUCCUCCUGCUUCGCUGCUGAAACAUUCAUGUUGAGCAUUGACAAGAAGAUUGUCAACGACCGCAUCACAACCUUCACCUCUGCUAUCUGCCUAAUGUUUGGCAGUUACAGUACUACUGCUUUAACAUACACUACCCUGUGGAACUACGAUCAACACUGGAGUUCCUUCAACGGUGUUUCUUUUCCAUAAAUCCUGAGAGAGGCACUAAGGUUGAAUCAAAGAAGAAAAAAGUGUUCUCAGUCAAUCCCAGAGUCCUCACUCUCAUCUCAGACAUUGCUGACCAUGAGUGGAUCUAGUCCUACCCCUCUUGUUUGAGACAAAGUGAUAAAGGUAUACUGUUACAUACUCUACAGAUGUUCUGUUUUUGAAACAUUUCUGAUUGUGAGUGGGAAGUUUUUAACAAUGUGAAGUUUUACUAGACAAAAUUUCUAAAAGUACAUGUUCUACUUUUGAUUCACUGUUUUAUAUAUGAAAAAUGUAUCUGGUAAAAAUGUGGUAAACCUGCUAUUUAUUUUCAAUUUUAACAGAAUAAAAUUGUAUUUUAUUAUUUUUUUUAUAGUUAAUUUUACAGGGAAAAAAUGUGUUUUCUGGCACAAACUUUAUUUUAUGUUAUUUUCAUGUUAAUUUUAGGGAAAAAUAUUAUUUUUUCUUCAAGUUAAAACAUUUUCUUCUACGGUAAAAUAUUGAUCCUAGCACUAUUUUUAACCGUAAAAUCAACAAUAACAAUACCUUCUUACUGUUAAAGAAGAAAAUGUUUCACCCGUAAUUUUACGGUAGAUUUCUGGCAACCACAGCUGCCAGCGUUUUACCGUAAAAUCUACAGUUUUUUUUUUUUUUUUACAGUGCAUAAUUUUAAUUUUAUUUAUUUUAUUUUAUGUUUUGAUUUAUUUUCUUUUUUGGUGGUUUCAGCUCCACAAGUUCCAUGUUAAUUUGAUCUAGUCUUGUUUUAAGUUCUGUAAAUUUUUCUUAUACCUGUUUUUUAUUAUAAGUAGUUGUUCCAUGUUGUUCAUUCAUUGAAUGAAGGGUUGAAACUGGUCUCGCAGGCUGACCUAAAACAGCAAAAACUUUUCUGAGGCCUUGUGGCCAGUGCCAAAUAGUGUUCACACAGGAUAGAUUAAUAAAUGUUCAUGUCCUUGCUGUGGUAGAACCAAACAGCAAACUCCUGGGCUGGCUAUCUUUCAGUGUCGACGUGAGACCAAAUCUAAAAGUGAGUGAGUUCCCACAGUCUCCCAUAUUAGCAUGCUUAUAUGUUUCCAGCCCUGCUAUGGUCUCUAUGGAUAUUUUCCACUUCAUAAAUUGAACUUUUUAUAUAACUAAACUGUUUUUGCUAAUGCUUAAAGCUUGAGGUACUUCUGCUGGUAUCUAUACCCAGGUCUUUUCUACUAAGCUUUACAUCCACUAAUUCCAACCACUGAACUGG